ensembl:snRNA U6 U6 spliceosomal RNA
GCUCUGUGGGAAAAAAUAAGAGAGUAUUUCUAAAAUGGGAACGAGACAGAGAAGAGCCUUGUGGACCCUGCACAAGGCUGAGACGCAAACCUAAGACGGUAUUUCUAGAGCU